CAUGGCGUAGUGGUAACGCGUUCCAACUAGAGUCGUGAGUUCGAUUCUCACUG
rnacentral:tRNA from 1 species